rnacentral:rRNA from 1 species
CUACGGGUCGCUCCAGUGGGGAAUAUUGCACAAUGGAGGAAACUCUGAUGCAGCAACGCUGCGUGGAGGAUGACGCAUUUCGGUGUGUAAACUCCUUUUAUAUGUCAAGAAAAUGACGGUAGCAUAUGAAUAAGCACCGGCUAACUCCGUGCCAGCAGCCGCGGUAAUACGGAGGGUGCAAGCGUUACUCGGAAUCACUGGGCGUAAAGGACGCGUAGGCGGGUUGGAAAGUCAGGUGUGAAAUCCUACAGCUUAACUGUAGAACUGCACUUGAAACUUCUAAUCUAGAGUAUGGGAGGGGGAGAUGGAAUUAAUGGUGUAGGGGUAAAAUCCGUAGAUAUCACUAGGAAUACCUAAAGCGAAGGCGAUCUCCUGGAACAUUACUGACGCUAAGGCGUGAAAGCGUGGGGAGCAAACAGGAUUAGAUACCCGUGUAGUC